rnacentral:rRNA from 1 species
CCUACGGGUGGCAGCAGUGAGGAAUAUUGGUCAAUGGACGAGAGUCUGAACCAGCCAAGUAGCGUGAAGGAUGACUGCCCUAUGGGUUGUAAACUUCUUUUAUAAAGGAAUAAAACGAGGCACGUGUGCCUUUUUGCAUGUACUUUAUGAAUAAGGAUCGGCUAACUCCGUGCCAGCAGCCGCGGUAAUACGGCGGAUCCGCGCGUUAUCCGGAUUUAUUGGGGUUAAAGGGAGCGUAGAUGGGUUGUUAAGUCAGUUGUGAAAGUUUGCGGCUCAACCGUAAAAUUGCAAUUGAUACUGGCAGUCGUGAGUACAGUUGAGGUAGGCGGAAUUCGUGGUGUAGCGGUGAAAUGCUUAGAUAUCACGAAGAACCCCGAUUGCGAAGGCAGCUUACUAAACUGUGACUGACAUUGAUGCUCGAAAGUGUGGGUAUCAAACAGGAUUAGAUACCCUAGUAGUC